CUCUGAGUGAAAGAAAGAAACAAGGAGGAGAAAGACGAGGUCCUUGUCAAGCGUGAGACCGCGUUGGUGUCAGUGAAGAAGAAAAAAAAGACUGCAUUCUUUUUUCAAAAAGUUUUUCUUUCUUGUUUCUUGUUUUUUUUUUUUUUGAGAAAAGCAAAAGAAAACAGAGAGACCCAAAGAGCCUUCGAUAAAGACCGGAACAGAAACGAAAAGGAGU
rnacentral:ribozyme from 1 species